GGGAAGAUGGCUCAGUGGUAGAGUGCUUGCCUUGCAUGCAUGAGGCCCUGGGUUCGAUUCCCCAGUACCA
rnacentral:tRNA from 1 species